AUGUGUGCCGGGCACAGUCAGCGCCCCGAGAUGCGCUCAGCCUUUCCCAGGGCGGCGGCUGAGCACAGAGCUCAGACCCAGCGCUGCACCCACAGCCGCACCUCUGCCCAGGGAGCGCUGCGGGGCCGCUGGCUGACGCCCGGGUUGCAGCGGCGUGGGGGAGGCCAGGACAGCGCUCCGGGUUCAGCCGGGAGCCGGUAUCUGUGCGCACGUGUGCCCGAAUCGCGGCUCCCGGAGCAUCCCGGGGUGAUGCGGUUGGCUCGGAGAGACCUGCGGAGAAACACGGGCCGUGAAAGCGCUGGGAUGGAGCCGCUGCGAUGCCCUCGGCCAGCUCAGCCCACCUGCCCCAUCCCUGCUGCUGCUGGACCAGGGCCAGCCGCCUUCCCCUGAGGGCAUCUGAAGGAAGCUGGCGACAGAAGCGUCACUUUUAAGAUGACACGAACGGACCCACCUGACAUCCUGGUGUCUACGGUGUACCAAGACAUAAAGGUGGCCUCCGCAGCCCCUGGGGAUUCCAUUGUCCGCCAGCCCCCAGCGCGAUGUGACGCCUCCAUGUCCUCCUCUCUGCCCCGCGACCCGCAGCCCUUCAACAAACGCCACUGCCGGAGCUUCGACUUCCUCGAGUCGCUGGACGA
rnacentral:lncRNA from 1 species